AGGCAAAUGAGUUUCGUUAGAGCACCGGCGAGUCGUAUCAGAAAAAAGGACGGCGAGGGCGACAUAAACCUCCAAUGUCUUCCAUAUCAUUGUUGCUACGUUAAGUUUGAAAACCGAAAAUUAUUAUUUAAGCACGGAAAACUUUCUUCAUAGCAUACAGUAGCAUUUUCGAUUGCGUGGUUUGAAUUUUCAGUUGCAGAUGGUUCAAAAAAACCAAAUACCCAACAAAUACCCAUUUACUAUCACUCUAAAAACUAGGAAGGGUAUCGCAGGAGUGAAGCUGCCGGUUCACUCUUCAAAGCGUCGUUUUACUCUCGCAAAAUGUCGAGGAGAGUGAAAUGCAUUGUUCACUCUGUCACGAAGGAGAGAGUGAAAUGUGCUUUUCACUCUCCCCUUCAGAGAGAGAGAGUGAAAAGACUCUUGCGACAAUAGAAAAGAGAGACUCUUGCGGCAAUAGAAAACAAAACGUAGCGUUAUCUUCUGCUUCAACUGUAGGUGGCUGGCCCCGAACAUGGCAAUGUAUCAUUCAUGCACGCUGAGCAAAGAACACAUCGUUUUGCUUCUAAGAGAACAGGCCGCCGCAGUUCAAAGGAACGCGUAGCGAGCGCUCUACUUUUUCACUCGGAGUUGCUCCACCGCGCGCGCGCGCGCUCAAGAUCGCGGAACAACACAGCACCGGAGAGAGGUGAUCCUUCCGCCGAGCAGCACAGCAGCAGCAAAGGCCAGCCAAGGGAGAUCGUAUGUCAGCCAUCUCGCGUCGCCACGAAAACACGACAGUCGUUCGUCAUGCCUUGGAUAUAACAGCAAAUCCUCCACGGCACCCGCUUUAUAUAACGCAAGAAGGCAGCUGCAAGGACACGAGGAUGUGAAAGAGCCAGUGCAGCGCGACUUCACGUAGUGCAGAGGAGCCAAUGCCAAAAUAUCAAAAUACAUUGGCAUGUUAUUUGGACAAGAAAACUAGGACAACCCAGGACGUGCAUUUCUCAGCACCCAGUCAACUGCCAAAAGUGACUCAAACACAGGCCACCAGUGGAACUCUGCUGUACCACUGCAGUGCUGCGGAAAUUGCCUUCACCAGCGGCUUUGCAACAGCUGUUUUGCAGCAUGUCGGAGACAAUGCCUGCGAAAUUAUUGGCCCUGAUCAUGAGAGCCCUCAAGGGGCAAACAACAUCUCUGUUGCAGAAGUGAGCCCGAUACCACUUGGAAGUUACCAUGACAGAUGACACGGCAGCAAUAGAUACAGAGACUGCCAUGUCUACUGCAGCUGCAACAGUGUACGAGGCAAGCAGCAGCGCGUCAGCAUCAGCAGCAGUGUCAGAAGGAACCACACCAGGCCUGGUAGAGCAACAUGUGUGCUAUCACUGACUUUUUUUGUAGUGGAUACAACUCAUUUGCUCAACAUACAACAGCUUUUCACCACGACUGUGAGCCAGUGUUAUUGUGCAGCAAGUGCAAGACUAAGUUAGGUGUUAUAACACAGUACAAGCAUCACUUUAAUAUAUGCAAAUGCAAACAUAUUACAGUUGUUGCCUCCCCAGCCAGCCCACAUAGUGACAACAAUGUCGAACACAUGGUGGGACACACCUCUCCCCCAUUACAAGAUAGUAGAGACUGUCAGUGUUGUUGCUAGAUUGACUGGUCUUUGUAGGCAACUAGAAGGACAACACAGGUGUCAUAAGAUUGUUGUUGAUGUUGUUGUUGAAGAGGUAAAAAAGAAGUUUGAUGCAGCUGAAUUGCCAACUGAUAUUGAGCAAAUCAAAAGCAACCACCUGAGAAAGCAACACUAUCGAAAUUUGGGUAUCUAUGUGCCGCCAACUCUGGUAACAAUGGCAUAGGAAAGAAGUGUGAUGAAAAUCACACAGACACUGCUGUUGCAUCACUGGCCACAGUGAGCAGUGACUUGUAGGGCAAGAGAGUCAACUGAAACUAACAUUAUGAUAUAGUGUCAUGCUCCCAUGUGACCACUUUUCAAGUUAUUUUGCAAGAUACAGCUCAACCUCCAGAAACGGGACUGCAACUUGUCUGUAAAAAAGCUUUCACAAAAAAUUAUUCAUAACACUAUUAACAUAGCAGUAUCUUUUUUUUUGUGUCGGUUCGAGGUUCCCAGCUGUCCAUUAAUGCAAAAAUUGAGGAAAAAAAGAACAUGUGUCGUACUUACACCUUUUUAACAAGUACGAGGGGGACAGAACUUUUCUAGUCAUGCAUCUUCAUCAUACUAUCAAGUUUUUAAAUGCCUUUUAUAAUUAUUAUCACCAGUUAAAUCUGAGUGCAUUGUAUGCAUGUAGCAGGUGUAAAAUCAGGUCAGUUGGAUCAGAUGCCUUAUCUGCAAGCGAGCCCUAUAUUCAAGAAAUUUGAAUUAAAAUAGUUACGUUAGAGACGCAGUCUUUCAGCACUUUAUUGCCUGUGGUUUAAGCAUUGCUCAAUACUUUUGUAGGUGGCAAUUUCAACCGGCACAGCACUGCGCUUUGCCACAGUCACAUUUGUCUUCAAAGCGGUGUUUACCAUUUGUGUUGAUCUGUUUGUGUAUGCAUAGAGCAAGUUUUUAAUUUAUAUUUUUCUCCAUUCUUGUGCUUGCACUAAGCUUGUAUAAGGCAGUUACAAAAUGUGCGUCACUAUAACGAACUGUUCUGUUGAGCUUACACUUGCAAAUAAUCGUGUUCAGAUGGCCACACUUCUAUGCGGGUGCACCGCUAGCUUUGUGUAUGUCCUCAUGUUUGUAUAAAGCUUAUAUAAGCUAGUUAGAAAAUGUAUGUCACUAAGCAUUGUGAUAUUCUUUAAAGAACUGCUUGGUUGGUUUUACACAUGUGAAUUAGUAUUGAGGCGGUGGUAUUCCCAUGUAUGCCCACUGCUAGCUUUCUGUGUCCUCACGUGUUUGUAUUAAGUUUCUACAAGGGAGUUACAGCAUGUACGUCACUAAGCACUGUGAUAUUUUUUAAAGAACUGCUUUGUUGGUUUUACACCUGUGAGUAAUAGUACUCGGGUGGCACUAGUCAUGUGUAGGUACACAGGGACCAUUUGUAUACAUUAUGCUCAUGUAAAGCAGUUACAAAGUGUAUGUCACUAAUUACUGUGAUAUUUGUUGAAUUGCUGUGAUGGUUUUACACAUGUGAAUAAUAGUGGUCAGGACACAGUACUUGCGGUGUAUAGUUGAACUUAUACACUGCCAAGACAUGGGCUGUAUACGUACCAAAAGAAAUGUGUGUCAUUAUAUUGUUGUGAUUAUUACUGUUUGGAUUUUAUUAAACUGUAAUAAAAUUGUUUCUUGUAUCUAUUGA